GGGGCUAUAGCUCAGUUGGGAGAGCGCUACACUGGCAGUGUAGAGGUCAUCGGUUCGAACCCGUUUAGCUCCACCA
rnacentral:tRNA from 1 species